rnacentral:lncRNA from 1 species
AUCAAACUUUUUGUUUGAACCAGUAUGCAUGGACGAUCUAAUAAGUGACUGCUCAUCUUUCCACUGAUGAUAGCCUGUUUUGGGUGGGUGCUUAACUUUUACAAAUAGAGUAAAUAAACUCUUUUAACUUAUUCUUGGUAAUUACCAUGCGGACCAUACAGUGGCAUUGUGUAUGUAUGAAUUUUACUCCUGUGCACACCACUGGUCAUAAUAACUGACAGAUAUGCUGGACUGAUUUGUUGAGACUAGCUAGUGUAGAAAAUUCAAGAAAACAGCAGUGGCUAACAUAUAUAUAGACAUAAUUUGUUCUCACCUGUCACUCCUACAACCUGUUUAAUUUGACUACACAAACCUGCAGUGGUGCUUAAACGUGGAAUCAUCUCCCCUAGCUUACACUACUACAUAAUUCUUUUACCGAGGUGGCAAAAUCACUUUACCAAGGCGAGCAAAUCGAACGCCUCGAAGGAAAGGUCACCAUUAAUCAAUGUUAACCGAGACGGUCCUAAUGCCCGCUACAGUAAAUCAAUCGGGUAAAACAAAAAAAAUAAAAAUCUAGAUAAGCCCGCUGAGUCCAUCCACGGCCCACCGAGCCCAUCCCUGGCCGCUGGAUCCGCAGUGCGUGCCGCCGCUCAUUGGGGCCGUCCUCCACCAAAUCAACCAUGUCGACGCCACCAGAUCCGCUCAUCAGGCCGCCCAUCAUCGGAUCUGCUUGUCAUGUCCUCCACGAGUGCCACUGAAGCUAGAUCCACCUCCUCCAAGCACCUCGUCGCCGCCGGGAGAGCCCUCCCCGAGCACCACUGCAAUCAGAUCCGCCUCCCCAAACACCGUCGUGACCGAGAGAGGCCUCCCUGAGCGCCGUAGCCGC